rnacentral:rRNA from 1 species
ACKGCUCAGUAACACGUAGCUAACCUGCCCUCAAGCCUGUGAUACCCUCGGGAAACUGAGGUUAAUAACGGAUAGAUGAUUUUUUCUGGAAUGAUUAAUCGUUGAAAGUUUGCGUGAGGAUGGGGCUGCGGUGGAUUAGGUAGUUGGCGGGGUAAAAGCCCACCAAGCCAAUGAUCCAUAAGGGCCUUUAGCGAGGAAGCCCUGAGAGGGAGUCUGAGAUACUACUCCCAGCCCUACGGGGUGCAGCAGUCGGGAAACUUUUGCAAUACACGUAAGUGUGACAAAGCAAGCCAGAGUGCUCUUCUUUUUAGAAGAGCUUUUGUGAGAUGUAAAAAGUCUCACGAAUAAGGACUGGGCAAGACUGGUGCCAGCCGCCGCGGUAAUCCCAGCAGUCCGAGUCGCAGCCACAUUUGUUGGGUCUAAAAUAUCCGUAGCUUGCUUUUCAAGUCUCUUGUGAAAUCGGGACUCUUAAGGUUCCGGCGGGCAAGAGAUACUGUUAAGCUAGAGACCGGGAGGCGUAAGAAGUACGAUCAGGGUAGCGGUAAAAUGCGUUGAUCCUGAUUGGACUAACAGUCGCGAAGGCGUCUUACGAGAACGGUUCUGACAGUGAGGGAUGAAGGCUAGGGGCGCAAAGUGGAUUAGAUACCCAUGUAGUCCUAGCAGUAAACACUGCACACUAAACAUUGGCACCUCCUCGAGAGGUAUCAGUGCUGUAGGGAAGCCGGAGAGUGUGCUACCUGGGAAGUAUAGUCGCAAGACCGAAACUUAAAGGAAUUGGCGGGGGAGCAC